UCUGUCUCUUUAAAUGCCAAGGGCUUCGCUCCCGCCCGGCUGCCCGGAGCCGGAUCUACAAUCCCGUCCCUCCCGCUCCGGCGCUUGUUGCUCGCCCGGUCCGAGCGGGAGCUGCGGACCGCGGGAAGCCGAGCUACCUCCUCCUUUCCUUUUCGUGCUCCACCUUCCGGGAGAUCUGCGUGAGGGGUUGCAUAGCAGCGGGCGUGAACAGGCAUUGCCCCCACCACCUUCAUUUCUUGGGGUGCUACGCAGCCGUGCGGGGCGGGAAGGGAAGAAAUGCGUCUUUCCCCGCUGCCUGGCUUCGUCCCGGUCCGCGCUGGGAGAGGAGGCACUGCGGAGCCCACACCUGCGAACUCGCCCUAGAAGUCUCAGGGUGCGGCAGGGCGCCCCUCCCGGUCCCCCAGGGCUUCCACCUCUCCGCGAGUGAGUCGGCGCAGGUGGCUUUAGCCCCUGCCCCGGGACCAGUGCCAAUGACUCUGGCGGUGGUUUCGCUUUCUCCUCUCUCAGUCCUGUGAACGAGUGUCCACAGCGUGAUGGGCAAUCAGGUGGAGAAACUGACCCACCUAAGUUACAAGGAAGUUCCCACGGCCGACCCGACCGGCGUGGACCGAGACGAUGGGCCCCGCAUAGGAGUCUCUUAUAUUUUCUCCAAUGACGACGAGGACGUGGAACCGCAGCCACCGCCCCAGGGGCCUGAUGGCGGAGCGUUGCCGGACUCGGGGGACCGGCCUCCCCUGCCCCCGCCGCAGCCCUAUGACCCGCGGCAGCAUGAGGUGGAAUGCUCAGUGUUUUAUCGCGACGAGUGCAUCUACCAGAAAAGCUUCGCGCCGGGGUCGGCAGCACUAAGCACCUACACACCCGAGAACCUGCUCAACAAGUGCAGUCCGGGCGACCUCGUGGAGUUUGUGUCGCAGGCGCAGUACCCACACUGGGCUGUCUACGUGGGCAAUUUCCAAGUGGUGCAUUUGCACCGGUUGGAGGUGAGCAACAGCUUCCUUACCGAUGCAAGCCAGGGUCGACGUGGCCGCGUGGUCAACGAUCUGUAUCGCUACAAGCCACUGAGCCCCAGCGCUGUUGUGCGGAACGCGCUGGCCCACGUGGGCGCCAAGGAGCGCGAGCUCAGCUGGCGCAACUCGGAGAGCUUUGCCGCCUGGUGCCGCUAUGGCAAACGCGAGUUCAAAAUCGGUGGCGAGCUGCGCAUCGGCAAGCAGCCCUACCGUUUGCAGAUUCAGCUCUCGGCCCAGCGCAGCCACACUCUCGAGUUCCAGAGCCUGGAGGAUUUGAUCAUGGAGAAGCGGCGCAACGACCAAAUCGGACGCGCGGCGGUGCUGCAGGAGCUCGCCACGCACCUUCACCCGGCUGAGCCAGAUGAGGGCGACAGCGAAGCGGCUCGGACUACACCGUCUCCCCUGCGCCUCCCUGCACCGGGCUCCGAGGAGGAGAAUGGAGACUCGGUGGUGCACUGAUAUUUAGCCUAGACUCAGAGCUGCAAAAGGGAGCUGUUUGCAACGGCCGCGCCCCCUUCCUCCCCACCCCACCCUCUUCGCCUGGGCCUCAUUUGAUAUUCCUGGGCCUUUUGGAAAACGCAGAGUUUGUGAAAAGCACAGCCGACUUUGAACGGGGGAGGAGGAAGGGGACGAAGGGAGCAGGAAUAAGACAUAGAACUCUUUUGUACUGUGAAUUAUGGACGCUCUUUGAAGGAAAGAAAUAUUGAUUCCUAUGUUCUUCUGAAGCUGUGGAAGGGAUGAGCAGGACCCUGUGGAACACGCACUAAAAGAAACCAGACAAAUUCUAUUUUCUUACCUGAGCAAAUAUUUUAUUGAGACUGCUUAUGUAUGUCAAAGGAGCCUACAACUUCGGCUACACAACUUUUUCUAUGGGAAGAACUGGUACUUUUGUAGCUUUUAUUCCACGUUUAAUUUAAAAUGACUUUGUAGCAGUGAAAUGUCUAGCAGAAGACUUUAUUCCAGAUCUUGAAGAUGAUUUUUAGUUUUUAUGAAAAUGGUUCAGUGGUUCAGCCUCUCAAAGCAUCGGUGCUUCUGGGCCUCAGGGCACCCUUGGACAAGAACAACCACGUGAAAACAUAUUUUUUGGAAGCAAAACUUUAAUUUUAUAUGAUAUAUACUAUGGAAAGCUAAGAAAAUUUCAGAACGACUUGUUUUUCUUUUUAUUUCUUUUUCUUAAAAUGGGAUCCACUGUGUUGAAGACUCUUGAUAUAGUAUGUGCUUGUCUAGGCAUUUUUUUUU